GACGAACGCUGGCGGCGUGCUUAACACAUGCAAGUCGAACGGAAAGGCCCUGCUUUUGUGGGGUGCUCGAGUGGCGAACGGGUGAGUAACACGUGAGUAACCUGCCCUUGACUUUGGGAUAACUUCAGGAAACUGGGGCUAAUACCGGAUAGGAGCUCCUGCUGCAUGGUGGGGGUUGGAAAGUUUCGGCGGUUGGGGAUGGACUCGCGGCUUAUCAGCUUGUUGGUGGGGUAGUGGCUUACCAAGGCUUUGACGGGUAGCCGGCCUGAGAGGGUGACCGGCGACAUUGGGCCUGAGAUACGGCGCAGACUCCUACGGGAGGCAGCAGUGGGGAAUAUGGCACAAUGGGCGGAAGCCUGAGGCAGCAACGCCGCGUGCGGGAUGACGGCCUUCGGGUUGUAAACCGCUUUCGCCUGUGACGAAGCGUGAGUGACGGUAAUGGGUAAAGAAGCACCGGCUAACUACGUG
rnacentral:rRNA from 1 species